CAGGAAUAAAAACUGUAAGAAACACAAACACAUGGAGGCUAAACAAUACACUACUAAAUAACCAAGAGAUCACUGAAGAAAUCAAAGAGGCAAUCAAAAAAUACCUAGAAACAAAUGACAAUGAAAACACGAUGACCCAAAACCUAUGGGAUGCAGCAAAAGCAGUUCUAAGAGGGAAGUUUAUAGCAAUACAGUCCUACCUCAAAAAACCAGAAAAAUCUCAAAUAAACAACCUAAACUUACACCUACACCUAAAGCAAUUAGAGGAAGAAGAACAAAAAACAUCGAAGGUUAGCAGAAGGAAAGAAAUCAUAAAGAUCAGAUCAGAAAUAAAUGAAAAAGAAAUGAAGGAAACAAUAGCAAAGAUCAAUAAAACUAAAAGCUGGUUCUUUAAGAAGAUAAACAGAAUUGAUAAGCCAUUAGCUAGACUCAUCAAGAAAAAAAGGGAGAAAACUCAAAUCAACAGAAGUAGAAAUGAAAAAGGAGAAGUAACAACUGACACUGCAGAAAUACAAGGGAUGAUGAGAGAUUACUACAAGCAACUAUAUGCCUAUAAAAUGGACAACCUGGAGGAAAUGGACAAAUUCUUAGAAAAGCACAACCUUCCAAGACUGAACCAGGAAGAAAUAGAAAAUAUAAACAGACCAAUCAAAAGCACUGAAAUUGAGACUGUGAUUAAAAAUCUUCCAACAAACAAAAGCCCAGGACCAGACGGCUUCACAGGCAAAUUCUAUCAAACAUUUAGAGAAGAGCUAACACCCACCCUUCUUAACUCUUCCAAAAUACAGCAGAGGGAGGAACACUCCCAACCUCAUUCUACGAGGCCACCAUCACCCUGAUACCAAAACCAGACAAAGAUGUCACAAAAAAAGAAAACUACAGGGCCAAUAUCACCGAUGAACAUAGAUGCAAAAGUCCUCAACAAAAUACUAGCAAACAGAAUUCAGCAGCAUAUUGAAAGGAUCAUAUACCAUGAUCAAGUGGGGUUUAUCCCAGGAAUGCAAGGAUUCUAUAAUAUAUGCAAAUCAAUCAAUGUAAUACACCAUAUUAACAAAUUGAAGACGAAAAACCAUAUGAUCAUCUCAAUAGAUGCAGAAAAAGCUUUAGACAAAAUUCAACACCCAUUUUGAUAAAAGCUCUCCAGAAAGUCAGCACAGAGGGAACUUACCUCAACAUAAUAAAGGCCAUAUAUGACAAACACACAGCCCACAUUGUUCUCAAUGGUGAAAAACUGAAACCAUUUCCUCUAAGGUCAGGAACAAGACAAGGCUGCCCACUCUAACAGCUAUUAUUCAACGUAGUUUUGGAAGUUUUAGCCACAGCGAUCAGAGACGAAAAAUAAAUAAAAGGAAUCCAAAUUGGAAAAGAAGAAGUAAAACUGUCACUAUUUGCAGAUGACAUGAUACUAUACAUAGAGAGUCAUAAAGAUGCUACCAGAAAAAUAGUAGAGCUAAUCAAUGAAUUUGGUAAAGUAGCAGGAUACAAAAUUAAUGCACAGAAAUCUCUUGCAUUCCUAUACACCAAUGAUGAAAAAUCUGAAAGAGAAAUUAAGGAAACACUCCCAUUUACCAUUGCAAGAAAAAGAAAAAAAUACCUAGGGAUAAACCUACCUAAGGAGACAAAAGACCUGUAGGCAGAAAACUAUAAGACAGUGAUGAAAUAAAUUAAAGAUGAUAAAAACAGAUGGAGAGAUAUACCAUGUUCUUGGAUUGGAAGAAUCAACGUUGUGAAAAUGACUAUACUAUACAAAGCAAUCUACAGAUUCAAUGCAUUCCCUAUCAAACUACCAAUGUUAUUUUUCACAGAACUAGAACAAAAAAUUUCACAAUUUGUAUAUAAACACAAAAGACCCCAAAUAGCCAAAGCAAUCUUGAGAAAGAAAAACAGAGCUGGAGGAAUCAGGCUCCCUGACUUCAGACGAUAUCACAAAGCUACAGUAAUCAAGACAGUAUGGUACUGGCACAAAAACAGAAAUAUAGACCAAUGGAACAGGAUAGAAAGUCCAGAGAUAAACCCACCCACAUAUGGUCACCUUAUUUUUCAUAAAGGAGGCAAGAAUAUACAAUGGAGAAAAGACAGCCUGUUCAAUAAGUGGUGCUGGGGAAAACUGGACAGCUACAUGUAAAAGAAUGAAAUUAGAAUACUCCCUAACACCAUACACAAAAAUAAACUCAAAAUGGAUUAAAAACCUAAAUAUAAGGCCAGACACUAUGAAACUCUUAGAGGAAAACAUAGGCAGAACACUCUAUGACAUAAAUCACAGUAAGAUCCUUUUUGACCCACCUCCUAGAGAAAUGGAAAUAAAAUCAAAAUAAACAAAUGGGACCUAAUGAAACUUAAAAGCUUUUGCACAGCAAAGGAAACAAUAAACAAGAUGAAAAGACAACCUCAGAAUGGGAGAAAAUAUUUGCAAAUGAAACAACUGACAAAGGAUUAAUCUCCAAAAUAUACAAGCAGUACAGUUCAAUAUCAAAAAAACAAACAACUGAAUCCAAAAAUAGGCAGAAGACCUAAAUAGACAUUUCUCCAAAGAAGAUAUACAGAUUGCCAACAAACACAUGAAAGAAUGCUCAAUAUCACUAAUCAUUAGAGAAAUGCAAAUCAAAACUACAAUAAGGGGGGCUUCUCUGGUGGUGCAGUGGUUAAGAAUCCACCUGCCAGUGCAGGGGACACAGGUUUGAGCCCUGGUCCAGGAAGAUCCCACAUGCCGCAGAGCAACUAAGCCCAUGUGCCACAACUGCUGAGCCUGCGUGCCACAACUACUGAAGCCCACAUGCCUAGAGCCUGUGCUCCGCAACAAGAAGCCACCACAAUGAGAAGCCUGGGCACCACAACGAAAGAGCAGCCCCCACUCGCCGCAACUAGAGAAAGCCCACGCACAGCAACAAAGACCCAACACAACCAAAAAUAAAAAUAAAUAAAUGUAUAAAAAAAAAAAAAGAUGUGUGUAGGAUCCCUCCUAGUUAUAAGAGGCUGUGUCUCUGGAUACCACCUAUCCCAGAACCAUGCUAAGUGCUGUUAUGGUGAUGGGGUGGGGAGCGGGUGGGGAGGGGGCAAGCGGAGAUCAAAACCAUAGUCUAUAUGCCAGCUGAAAAGUCAGGACAGGCACAAACAGAACUACUUGAUAACAACAGAGACAGUCCCCAAAAGGGGGCAGCUAUCUGAAGACUUCAACUUGCAGAUAGAGUUUAGAGAAGGCAAAAGUGAGUAGGAAUUCUCUCCCAUGGAAUUGGAAAAGAUAUUCACAAAUCAUAUAUGUGAAAAAGGAUUACUAUAAAGUACUCCUACAACUCAACAACAAAAAACAAACAACCCAAUUCAAAAAUGAGCAAAAGGUAAAGCAAUUAUACUCUAAUAAAAGUGUUAAAAAAAAAUGAGCAAAAGGGAAUUCCCUGGAGGUCCAGUGGUUAGGACUCUGCACUUCCACUGCAGUGGGCCCCGGUUCAAUCCCUGGUCAGGGAACUAAGGUCCCACAAGCCACACAUGUGGCCAAAAACAAAACAAAGAAAACAAGACAAAAAUGAGCAAAAGACUUCACAGUUCUCCAAAGAAGAUAUACAAAUGGCCAAUAAGCUCAUGAAAAGAUGCUCAGUGUCACUAUGGCACUAGCCACUCGAGAAAAUGCAAAUCAAAACCACAGUGAGAUACCAUUUCACAUGGCCCAUCCAUUAGGAUGUCUAUAUCAAACAAAGAAAAAGAAAGAAAGAAAGAAAAGAACAAGCUGUGACAAGGAUGUAGAAUAAUUGGAACCUGGUGCAUUGCUGGUGGGAAUUAAAAAUAGUUUGGCAUUUGAAACAUGUGAUCCAGCAAUUCCACUGCUGGUUAUAUACACAAAAUAACUGAAAGCAGGGACUCAGAUAUUUGUAUACUCAUGUUCAUAGCAGCAUUAUUUACAAUACCCAAAAGGUGGAAACAACCCAAAUGUUCAUCAACAGAUGAAUAAGCAAAAUGUGAUAUAUACAUACAAUGGAAUAUUAUUCAGCCUUAAAAAAUAAUGAAAUUCUGAUACAUGCCACAACAUGGGUGAACUUUGAAAGCAUUUUGCUAAGUGAAAUAAGCCAGUCACAAAAGGAAAAAUUAUGUAUGAUUCCACCUAUAUGAGAUACCAAGAGCAGUCAAAUUUAGAAAGACGCCAAGUAGAAUGGUGGCUGCCAGGGACUGGGGAGAGGAGGGAAUAGGAAGUUGUUGUUUAAUAGGUAUAGAGUUUCAGUUUUGCAAGGUGAAAAGAGUCUCGCAGAUUGGUUGCACAAUGUGAAUGUACUUAACACUAUUGAACUGUACACUUAAAAAUGAUUAAGAUGGUAAAUUUAAUGUUAUGUGCAUUUUACUGCAAUAUAAAAAUUUAAAAAGAGAAAAAGAAGUAGUGGAGCUAGGAUUCAAAUCCAGGACAUCUGAUGACAAUAUGUGCUCUUAACACUAGGUUACACUAGUCUUGCAGGUAAUCACUAGUCCAUGAGCAUUAGAAGGUAGUUUAUCUGUCACCCUGUCUUGCCAGAGGAUGUCCCUUGGGUUCCACCUAUAUGAGGUAUCCAGUAUAGGCAAAUUCAUAGGCAGAGAGAAUAGAAUAGAGGUUACCAGGGGCUGGAAGGAGGAAGGAAUGGGGAGUUAUUUUUUAAUGGAUACAGAUUUUUUCUGUUCGGGAUAAUAAAAAAGUAGACCUCACACCAUAAAACAUUCUUUUCUCUUGUGACAUGAUCCACUAACUUAAUAGUGCAAAUGGCAUUGCCAGGAUAAACACUCUUCUGAUCACUACUUCCUUGAAAUUCAUGAGGAUUCUUCAGUUCAUAAUGACGUUAUAGUUCAUUUGGACCCAGACUUACCUAUAUUCUUGUGUCCUAAUAAAGCCCAAACUGAAGAUCUCCACAGAGGUCCCUCAGGGGUUUACUUAAGCACCCACCUACUUUUCACAAAUUCUUACUAGGACUUUAAAGACCUUAGAUUACCUUGUUAUUUUAUGUUCAUCCAAUACAUAGUUAACAUUUUGCUUCAUUCUAAAGAUGAAGUGAGCUCUAGGACUGGUAUCAAUCCAUUUAAUUUUUUAGCUAGAAUAUCAUAAGUUUCCAAAGAAAAGUUUUUGUCAAACCAAAGUUCAUUGCCUAGGUCAUGAUUUAUACCAAGAAGGCAAAGCUCUCACUUGCAGACUAUCUGCAAACCAUUCAUUUUCCAGGCUCACUAUCAAACAAGAGGAUUCUUGACUAGGACUCCUAGUUAUUGCCAGCAAUGGAUUCCCAACUUUUCUGAAAUUGCUAUUUAAUGAAGUUCUCAGUAACUCACCCUCUUCUAUGAAAACCUAAACAUGACCAGGCAUUGUGUGAUAUAAAUUUAGCUCUCCAACCACCUCCUUCAAUCUGGAACUAACUAAUUAUUAUAAACCUUUUUUUUGUUUGUACAUGAGCAACCUGGACAGGCCCUUGGUGUUCUGACUCAAUUUUAUAGGAAUCUGAUUCAGUUCUGACUCAAAAGCAUGGAGACCAAUUGCUUACCACAGCCUCCUCUAAUUAUAGCUUUAUAAUAACUUUUUUAAUGUUGAUUUUUUAAAUUGGCUGCCAUUCAAACCCUGGUGGAUUGCAAAAUGCCCCUUCUUGUCCUCCCAUUCACCCUGGCCGGGCCUCCCUUUCACUGGGGACCUGUCUUAGCUCUUUCAAGCUGCUAUAACAAAAUACACAGACUGCAUAGCUUAUAAACAACAGAAAUUUAUUUCUCACAGUACUAGAAGUUUGAUGUCCAAGAUCAGGAUGCUAGCACGAUUGGGUGAGGGCUUUUUUCUGGGUCAGAGAUGUCUCAUUGUGUCCUCACAUGGCUAGGGAUCUCCUGGAUCCUCUUUUAUAAGGCACUAAUACCAUUUGUGAGGAUCCCCACCACAGUUGAAGCACCUCCCAAAGCCACCACCUACUAAUACCACCACCUUUGGGGUUAAGAUUUCAACAUGAAUGUGUGGGGUUCACAGACAUUCAGACCAUGGCAGAGCCUGUUCUCAUUGGCUAUCGGCUAAUUCUCUCUUAAAUGAGUCAGCCAGUCUCUCUCUAGUUGCCCGGCCAGUCUUCAGGUGGUGCUGCCACAAGAAGCCUAAGAAGUCAACCUGGAAGUUUAAUUUAGACCUUACUCAUCCAGUAGAAGAUAGAAUUUUUAUUUAUUUAUUUAUUUAUCUAUCUAUCCAUUUAUUUAUUCAUUUAUUUAUUCAUUUAUUAUUUAUUUAUUUAGCGGUACGCGGGGCUCUCACUGUUAUGCCCUCUCCCGCUGCGGAGCACAGGCUCCGGACGCGCAGGCUCAGCGGCCAUGGCUCACGGGCCCAGCCGCUCUGCGGCAUGUGGGAUCCUCCUGGACUGGGGCACGAACCUGUGUCCCCUGAAUCGGCAGGCGGACUCUCAACCACUGAGCCACCAGGGAAGCCCAUGGCAGGCAGAUUCUUAACCGCUGCGCCACCAGGGAAGCCCAUGAGUGCUUUUUGAAUUCACAGCAAACAGUACUUCUGUCUCCCAAGCAACUCGUCUGUAAAAUGUUUCACGUCAACUACAUUUGGGUAUGACGAGCAUGGAAACGAUAAAAGGCACACAAAUCAAAAUUAUACUGUUUCCUAAGCAUGCUAUAGUAUCAAUUUUAUAUUUAAUUACAUUGAGUUUUGACGUGUACAGAAUUCCAUCAAAAUGUCUCUGUGUAAUUUCAUGGGAAGUACAUUUAACCUAAGCUCUAUUUGGCUUAUCUUGAAGGAACCAUUCUCCGAGCUUGUUUGCCCAGCUGCUGCCUGGAAUGCGGUGUGGGGCUGGGAUGAAAUCAGUGAUGGGGUUGGUGGGUGAUCAGCCAGCCUUGGACAGAAUAUUUCAAAUAACCACCUGUAUAUUACUUUAUAAGCUUCUGCAGUUUUGACUUUAAUAGAUUUUUAAUAUUUUAACACGUUUAAAGUUCAUAUGCUUUUAGUUUUUGCACAAAGGCCCAGACUGACUGGAUCCAAGUAUUUUUUUGUCCUGCUAUUGCAAUGAGAAACUAUAGGAUUUGUUUGUAGUUCCAUCGUCAUCACUGAACAGUGGUGCCUGUGGCCAGUCUUCCUGGGCCCCGCUAAGAUGGACACUGCAGCACGACUCAGAGGUUGGCCACAUCUGGUUAUUUGACUGUGUCAGCUCUACAUACUCCACUGACAUGGCUAAUUUCAGAGCCAUCCCCAGAGACCUGGCUCCUUGCUUCUCCUAGGCAGCUGUGAAGACUGGACAUCAUAAAGGAGCUAGUCAAGGCCAUGAUUGAGGAUUAUCAAAGAAAAAGUGGGAUUGAAACCUAGCAGGACCCUGCAGAGAUCUCCCAGGUAUCUUUGAAUUGUUGUGCAGGAAGUAAGACCCUUAUCCAGGUGGAGGGCAAGCUGAGCACAAGCAGGUACAUCCCAGACUGGCUGGAACCAGAAGAUGGGGAAACCGAGGCACAGAGAAGCAAAGUGAUCUUCCCAGAGCCACACAGCCAGUGGGUGGUAGGGCCAGGCUCCAAACCCAGGUCUUUCUGAGCCCCGAGCCCACUGCACCAUCUUGCCUGGUGAAUAUGUGUUGGUGUUGCUGGCUGCGGGAGGAGGCCCGACUCAGUAAGUGAGUGCUAUCACAUAACAAGCAUCAACAGAUCCUCCUGGCCUCACAGAGACGUUCCAAGGGAAAACAUGUCUUCUGAGUUUCCUUGUUGAUUAGUACCUUUCAACAUCCUGCCUUUGCACAGGUGCAAACCAUUUUCUUGUCAAUGACUCUAAGUUGCGCUAGUUGCCUGUGAGACGUGCAGGGUUGCCCGGCCCUGUAAUGAGGACUUAACAUUCCUAGACAUCUGAGGUACCUGGGACAUUAAUUCUCCACCACCACAGGUCUGCCGGCAGAAGUUCAGCCAAAAGGUAGGAAGGGAGGGGAGGGAGUCUGACAAAGGGUAUAGAACGCAGACACAUUUGCAUUCAUUUCUCCGAGGCUGCCCAUAGGUUCACAGGGAUCUCCUGUGUUUGUUCCUUUAUCAGACCUGGGCUUGGGAAACACUGCUGCUAAUUCACUUGAGUUCCUGAAGUUCACCUUCUGGAUUUUAGGGUCCUUAUCACACUGUAUUGUAAGCACUGAUUUUCUUUUAUUGCCCCCACUGGACAGAGCUUCUUGCAAACAGAGACUGGCCCUCAUUCACUUUGCUGUCUUCCUAGCCUAAGCCAGGGCCUGGCACAUGGUCUGUGUUUAACACAUGCUUGCUGGUCCCCUCUGCCAUGCCUCCACACAGCUCUCUCUGGAUGCUCUUCUCUGGGAGAAAUGUAGCCUUCCCUUUCUCUACCCAGCUCAGAUGUCACCUCCUGCAGAAGCUUCCCCAAGUCUCUCAAAUCAAAAGGGCUCAACAACUUUGCAUGUUGUCCCCUCUCCUCUCAAGAAGCUCAGUCUGGUAGGGGUUUAGAAAAGCAAGCUAAUGUGUACAGUGUACUGUGAUGCUUGACAGACUUUAAAUGGGCAAAGGAUCACUGCAUGUUCAUUUAGUGGAGUGCUCUGAGUUGUCUAGGAUUCUAAGCUGUCUGAUUCUCUAGGGAACUAACUGCACAUUUGAUUAUCUUUCGCUGGGCUGUUUUAUAACUUUGCUGUGAUGGAAGUUAACUUGUACAGGGCUGAUGAUGGUGCAGAUGUUUCCUGCCUGAUGUGUGAUGCAAAUUGUUCCUGUUCGUGGCAAUGCAAAUGAGUUUUGUCCAGUAGAGAAUAAGUCUCCAUAAGUCCAAUUCUCAUUUGAAAGUUGUAAAAUCUUACUGGUUCUUUCCUUUUUUUUUUUUUUUCCAAUUCAAUUACUUAUUUUAGUAAAUGAGUAAGAAAUAGAAAAUUUUAAAUAUAGAUAUUUGUGUCUUUUUACAUUUUAAUUUUUAUUGGAGUAUAGUUGCUUUCCAAUGUUGUCUUAGUUUCUACUGUACAGCAAAAUGAAUCAGCCACACACAUACAUAUAUCCCCUUCUUUUUGGAAUUCCCUCCCAUUUAAGUCACCACAGUGCAUUAAGUAGAGUUCCCUGUGCUAUACAGUAUGUUCUCAUUAGUUGUCUAUACUGGUUCUUUCCUUAAUUAAUGAGUUAUAUAAACAUGUUAAUUUUAUUUCUGUAUGAGAGUCAUGAUUUUACCAUUUUGCAAAUUAUGUUUCAGUGGUAAAAACUAUGACAGAGGUAGUGAUAAUAUGUACUGAGCAUUUAUUCUGUGUCAGAAAGUAUGCUAAAGGUUUUAUAGUUGUCAUAUUUAAUCCUCACAGCAACCCUAUAAGGUAAGUUCUAUUUAUUAGUCCCAUUUUACAGAUAUAGGAACUGAGGCCUAGAGGUUAAGUAACUUGCUUAAGGACCCAGAGUUAGUAAGUGGUCUAUCUGGACUUUGCACCCAGAGACCUGGGAUUUGACACUAAGAUUCAUAUUCUAACUGCACUGUCACCAUAAAGGCACUCAGAAAUAAAUUGGGGCAGCCACUGUGGAAAACAGUAUGGAGAUUUCUCAAAAAACUAAAAAUAGAACUACCAUAUGACCCAGCAAUUCCACUCCUGGGUAAAUAUCCAAAAAACAAAACAACAAAACAAAAAACACUAAUUUGAAAAGAUACGUGCACCUCAAUGUUCAUAGCAGCAUUAUUUACAAUUGUCAAGAUAUGGGGACUUCCCUGGCAGUCCAGUGGUUGAGACUCUGUGCUUCCACUGCAGGGGACUCGGGUUUGAUCCCUGGUCAGGGAACUAAGAUCCCCCAUGCUGUGUGGUGUGGCCAAUAAAUAAAAUAUGGAAGCAACCAAAGUGUCCAUCAACAGAUGAAUGAGUAAAGAAGUGGGUGUAUAUAUAUGCAAUGGAAUACUACUCAGCCAUUAAAAAGAAUGAAAUUUUGCUAUUUGCAGCAACACGGAUGGAAUUGGAGGGCAUUAUACUAAGUGAAAUGUCAGACAAAGACAUACUAUAUGUUAUCACUUGUAUGUGGAAUGUAAAAAUUACAACAAACUGGUGAAUAAAACAAAAAGAAGCAGACUCAGAGAUAUAGAGAACAACCUAGUGGCUACCCGUGGGGAGAGGGGCAAUAUAGGUGUAGGAGGAAGAAAAAGGGUUGCUAUGGGAUUAUAUGAGAUCAUGUGUGUGAAACUUUUGAAAAUUGUAAAGCACUAUAGAAUUUAAAGAAUCAUUCAUUCAAUUAAAAGAACAAAACAGAUCAGUGGGAAAAAAAACAAAUUGGGGAAUCAGAGAAGUCCUCCUGGUAAAAGGAGACAUGAAGCAAGUUUCAAACGGUGGAUAGGAGCUGGUGCAGAGGAGAAAGGAGGGAGGGGUUUCCUGGCAGAAGUCAGCAUGUAGGAAGGCAGGGAAGUCUGAAAUAAGGUCCUGCACUUAAGGAACUAAGAAAUUCACCUGGGGCUUCCCUGGUGGUGCAGUGGUUGAGAAUCCACCCGCCAAUUUGGGGGGCACGGGUUCGAGCCCUGGUCCGGGAGGAUCCCACGUGCUGCGGAGCAACUAAGCCCAUGCGCCACAACUACUGAGCCUGCAUGCUACAACUACUGAAGCCUGCAUACCUAGAGCCCGUGCUCUGCAACGAGAAGCCACUGCAACAAGAAGCCCGUGCACCACAACAAAGAGUAGCUCCUGCUUGCCGCAACCAGAGAAAGCCCACGCGCAGCAACAAAGACCGAACACAGCCAAAAAUAAAUAAAUAAAAUAAAUUUAUUAAGAAGAAAAAGAAACUCACCUGGGCUGGAGAGCGGGGUGUGGGCUGAGUAUUGGCAGAAGAAGACUGCAGAGGUAUGUGGGAGCUCAUCAAGAAGGGCCCUAUGGGUCAGGCUAAGGAGUUGGGACUUUAUCCUCAAACCACAGGAUUUAAAGCAGAGUGAGUGAUUAGACGAGUUUUAUUAUUUUUAUCUUUAUUGCCUUUAUUUGAAGUUAUAAAAGCAGCUGAAAAUCUGGCCGUUUUAGAAAAAUCAUUUUAGAAGCAGUGUUGAGGCUGCAUUGGAGGUGGUGAGAAAAGACAGGGAGGAUGUUAAAAACCAAGUCUAUGGCAGGGAAAAAGAAAAAGCAUUGCAAGGAGAAACAGUAUGUACAGCAGUUCAAUCUAUACGUUCGGGCAACCGAUGAGGUACGUGGAGGUGGGAAUGGGGAGAGGCUGGGACGCAGGUAGUUUACAGCCCUCCAAAGUUCAGAACUCCAUCUACUGCAGGCCUGUUUAUGCUCAUUCUUAGCAUUUGAGAAACGAGAUAGUACUUGGGAUUUAAAAGGAAAAGGGUUCUUCCCAUUCUGAAAAGCAUACGUAAAUAGGGCCUGACACAAAAGUACCCAGGCACUUUUCUUUUAGCCUCAAGGGAAAAAAAUGAGUUAGGAAAAUAAAGAUAAAACACAGUGACAAGAAUUAUUAUAAACCUUCUCUUAAUAAUUACAGACAUACAGAUUGUCAGCACACCAGGUGAUUUUUAAUCCCAGCCCAGUUCCCCUCCUGGCUUCUUAAUGGCUGCUGGCCACUUCCUCUUGGGACCUGGCCAGAGUAAGCUCAGGAAAUGCAAACUUUUUAAUUCUGGAAUCAGUAAAGCAUAUUAGGAAAGGAAAUCCCACAACUGAAGAAAUCACAUUAUGAAUUCCAAAGCCAAGGAAAAGGAUUGUAAAUCAGAUUGUGAAUUCAUUGGAGACGGGACCAUUUUACUUAUUUUGGUGCAGGAUCCAAGUGACUGGUUUGGUCUCUAUUCACCCUUCAAGGUUAUCCAGGAUUCAACCUCUUUCAUUCUCGUGUUUCCAGACUUCCACCCAGUACAACAUUUAGCUCUAGCAGCUGAGCUGUCUGCAGUCUUGCUUUGCACCCUUCUUACAGCAGGGGUGGGGGAGGGGUGGUGCCAGCUAAAGGGUCAGUGUUUUUCAUUUAUACCCAUGUCCCUAGGAUUGUGCGUGAAUGAGAACGUACUUGAAAGGCCUUUGUACACUCUGAUGAGCUAUACAAAUAUUACCGCAUGUUCUUUAUUGUUCUGGUUGAUGACAACUGACACUAUUUAAUUUUAAAACUACUAUGAGCUCAAUACUGCUAUGUACUCAACUGUAUGCAGUGUACAUUCACAAUCCGCACAAUAAUUUCAUUAUGUUUAACUUACCGAAGAGGCUCAGAGAAAUUAACUUGCUAAAGUAUAUACUUUUUGUCCUUUUUAGGCCCUCCUGAGAUUGGAUUAGAGACUUCUCCAUGUGCUGGCCCAUCACAGCCCUUACUAUGCAGUCUCCCCCACUAGACUAGGAGCUGGGGGUGCCAGGAACUGCAUUCUGAUCACUGUUAUCCCUUCUAUCUAGGAAAUAGGCACAUAGAUGCUGCUCCAAAAAACACUAUUUAGGUGAAUUAAUGAAGGCUGAUCUUAUGUCCACUGCUCUUUUCUGAAUAUUGCUGCUUUCCUUAUAACUUACUGUUCACUGUCUGCUUUCCCCUACUAGAAGGUAAGAUGCAUAGAAAGACAUUUUGUUCAUGACUGGAUUCUCAAAGCCUAGAGCAAUGCUUGGGGACGUAGUUAAGGGUCCAGUAAAUACCUGUUAGUAAAUAAACUAAAAUAGCUGCUCGGGGCGAGCAAAUUCUACUUUUUGUGACAUCAUAGUAUUGUUUUCUGAUGCUGAUCUCAGUAAGAUAAUGUUCGACAACCGUUAACACUGUAACAUGGGUAAGUGCGGAACGCUCUGGCUUCCUGAGUUAAACAUUCACUUGCAGCUGAAUGAUGACUGCAAGGGGAACCGCAGGAAUGCUGUCCCCAAGAGCACCGUCUCAGGAAGGAGACACUGGUGGUUGACACAGGCAGCCCGUGGACUCUACACUCUACAGCUUUGGUCCAGCACCAGCGAAAUCACGGCUAGAGACCACUGUGCUCUUGACUUUCAUCUCAUUCACCUUCCUUUCACCAGAUGCAAUUCUUGAAGCAGAAAAAUAAAACCUGUUUGUAAUAAUUAUCAGCUUCAUUUUCUUAGGAGUCAUGUGUCUCUUGCCAGAACUCUUCUAGAUCAAAGGUACUGUUUUUUCCUCUCUGUAAACCAGUAUUAUGUGCUCCAUUAAAUAUUUUCUUUUAGUAUAAAAGUAACCAUGACAUCAAGAAACUUUAGAAUGUGGAAAAAAUAUAGAAAAAAGUUACCUCUAAAUUUACGAGGCUCACAAAAUUAGUAUUUAUGUCCUUUAUCCCCUGUGCACAUGUAUAUAUGUAUUAUGCACACACACACACACACCAUGGUAGUUUGUGUUCUGCUUUUUUCAUUUAACAUUGUGCUGUGAAUAUAUCAUAAGGACUUCAUAACCAUCUGUUUAAAUAGUUAUUGAUACAAGAAAUUGAUAAUUUCAAAGGAACAAUUUUCUUAUAUAAAUUCCAAGUCUGGAAUGCUUAGGGAAAAGAUGUGAACUCAUGGUAUUUGACACAUAUUAUGAAAUUGCUUUGCCAAUAUUGUUGUACCAAUUUAUUGAGCCACCAACUGAUGGUAAUUUAUAAUUUAAGUCAUGUUAUUGAUAUAGUAGAGAAAAAUAAAAAU